rnacentral:rRNA from 1 species
CAACCAGGUAUUAGCCGGCUGGAUUUCUUUCCCAACAAAAGGGCUUUACAACCCGAAGGCCUUCUUCACCCACGCGGUAUGGCUGGAUCAGGCUUGCGCCCAUUGUCCAAUAUUCCCCACUGCUGCCUCCCGUAGGAGUCUGGACCGUGUCUCAGUUCCAGUGUGGCUGAUCAUCCUCUCAGACCAGCUACGGAUCGUCGCCUUGGUGGGCCUUUACCCCGCCAACUAGCUAAUCCGACAUCGGCUCAUUCAAUCGCGCAAGGCCCGAAGGUCCCCUGCUUUCACCCGUAGGUCGUAUGCGGUAUUAGCGUAAGUUUCCCUACGUUAUCCCCCACGAAAAAGUAGAUUCCGAUGUAUUCCUCACCCGUCCGCCACUCGCCACCCAUAAGAGCAAGCUCUUACUGUGCUGCCGUUCGACUUGCAUGUGUUAGGCCUACCGCCAGCGU